rnacentral:rRNA from 1 species
AGAGUUUGAUCCUGGCUCAGGAUGAACGCUGGCGGCGUGCCUAAUACAUGCAAGUCGAGCGAACGGACGAGAAGCUUGCUUCUCUGAUGUUAGCGGCGGACGGGUGAGUAACACGUGGAUAACCUACCUAUAAGACUGGGAUAACUUCGGGAAACCGGAGCUAAUACCGGAUAAUAUUUUGAACCGCAUGGUUCAAAAGUGAAAGACGGUCUUGCUGUCACUUAUAGAUGGAUCCGCGCUGCAUUAGCUAGUUGGUAAGGUAACGGCUUACCAAGGCAACGAUGCAUAGCCGACCUGAGAGGGUGAUCGGCCACACUGGAACUGAGACACGGUCCAGACUCCUACGGGAGGCAGCAGUAGGGAAUCUUCCGCAAUGGGCGAAAGCCUGACGGAGCAACGCCGCGUGAGUGAUGAAGGUCUUCGGAUCGUAAAACUCUGUUAUUAGGGAAGAACAUAUGUGUAAGUAACUGUGCACAUCUUGACGGUACCUAAUCAGAAAGCCACGGCUAACUACGUGCCAGCAGCCGCGGUAAUACGUAGGUGGCAAGCGUUAUCCGGAAUUAUUGGGCGUAAAGCGCGCGUAGGCGGUUUUUUAAGUCUGAUGUGAAAGCCCACGGCUCAACCGUGGAGGGUCAUUGGAAACUGGAAAACUUGAGUGCAGAAGAGGAAAGUGGAAUUCCAUGUGUAGCGGUGAAAUGCGCAGAGAUAUGGAGGAACACCAGUGGCGAAGGCGACUUUCUGGUCUGUAACUGACGCUGAUGUGCGAAAGCGUGGGGAUCAAACAGGAUUAGAUACCCUGGUAGUCCACGCCGUAAACGAUGAGUGCUAAGUGUUAGGGGGUUUCCGCCCCUUAGUGCUGCAGCUAACGCAUUAAGCACUCCGCCUGGGGAGUACGACCGCAAGGUUGAAACUCAAAGGAAUUGACGGGGACCCGCACAAGCGGUGGAGCAUGUGGUUUAAUUCGAAGCAACGCGAAGAACCUUACCAAAUCUUGACAUCCUUUGACAACUCUAGAGAUAGAGCCUUCCCCUUCGGGGGACAAAGUGACAGGUGGUGCAUGGUUGUCGUCAGCUCGUGUCGUGAGAUGUUGGGUUAAGUCCCGCAACGAGCGCAACCCUUAAGCUUAGUUGCCAUCAUUAAGUUGGGCACUCUAAGUUGACUGCCGGUGACAAACCGGAGGAAGGUGGGGAUGACGUCAAAUCAUCAUGCCCCUUAUGAUUUGGGCUACACACGUGCUACAAUGGACAAUACAAAGGGCAGCGAAACCGCGAGGUCAAGCAAAUCCCAUAAAGUUGUUCUCAGUUCGGAUUGUAGUCUGCAACUCGACUACAUGAAGCUGGAAUCGCUAGUAAUCGUAGAUCAGCAUGCUACGGUGAAUACGUUCCCGGGUCUUGUACUCACCGCCCGUCACACCACGAGAGUUUGUAACACCCGAAGCCGGUGGAGUAACCUUUUAGGAGCUAGCCGUCGAAGGUGGGACAAAUGAUUGGGGUGAAGUCGUAACAAGGUAGCCGUAUCGGAAGGUGCGGCUGGAUCACCU